CCUCACUGAAUCCGCAUGACUCAUAAUUUGCUGCUCAACUAUGGUCUCUACCGAAAAAUGGGAAUCCAUCGCCCUCACAAAGCCAAUGCUGAGGAGAUGACAUGCAGUUACAGCAAUGACUACAUUAAAUUCUUGCACUCCACCCGUCCAGAUAACAUGUCGGAGUACAGCAAGCAGAUGCAGAGAUUCAACAUUGGUGAGGACUGUCUGGUAUUCGAUGGCCUGUUUGAGUUCUGUCAGUUGUCUACUGGUGGUUCUGUGGCAAGUGCUGUGAAACUUAAUAAGCAGCAGACAGACAUUGCUGUGAGCUGGGCUGGGGGCCUGCACCAUGCAAAGAAGUCUGAGGCAUCUGGCUUCUGUUACGUCAAUGAUGUCGUCUUGGCCAUCCUGGAACUGCUAAAGUAUCACCAGAGGGUGCUGUGUAUUGACAUUGAUAUUCACCAUGGCGACGGUGUGGAAGAGGCCUUCUAUACCACAGACCGGGUCAUGACUGUGUCUUUUCAUAAGUAUGGAGAGUACUUCCCAGGAACUGGGGACCUAUGGGAUAUCGGGGCUGGCAAAGGCAAGUAUUAUGCUGUUAACUACCCGCUCCGAGACGGGAUUGAGGACGAGUCCUGUGAGAUCAUUUUCAAGCCGGUCAUGUCCAAAGUAAUGGAGAUGUUCCAGCCUAGUGCGGUGGCCUUACAGUGUGGCUCAGACUCCCUAUCUGGGGAUCGGUUAGGUUGCUUCAGUCCAACCAUCAAAGGGCACGCCAAGUGUGUGGAACUUGUCAAGAGCUUUAACCUGCCUAUGCUAAUGCUGGGAGGUGGUGGUUACACCAUUUAUAAUGUUGCCCGGUGCUGGACAUACGAGACAGCUGUGGCCCUGGAUACGGAGAUCCCUAAUGAGCUUCCGUACAACGACUACUUUGAAUACUUUGGACCAGAUUUCAAGCUCCACAUCAGUCCUUCCAAUAUGAGUAACCAGAGCACCAAUGAGUACCCGGAGAAGAUCAAACAGCGACUGUUUGAGAACCUUAGAGUGCUGCCGCAUGCACCCGAGGUCCAAAUGCAGGCGAUUCCUGAGGACAAAAUCCCUGAGGAGAGCGGCGAUGAGGACGAAGAAGACCCUGAGCAGCGCAUCUCGAUCUGCUCCUCUGACAAACGAACUGCCUGUGAGGAAGAGUUCUCCGAUUCUGAAGAGGAGGGAGAGGGGGGCCGCAAGAACUCUUCCAACUUCAAAAAAGCCAAGAGAGUCAAAACAGAGGAUGAAAAAGAGAAAGACCCAGAGGAGAAGAAAGAAGUCACAGAAGAGGAGAAAACCAAGGAGGAGAAGCCAGAAGCCAAAGGGGUCAAGGAGGAGGUCAAGUUGGCCUGAACAGACCUCUCCAGCUCUGGCUUCCUGCAGAGUCCCUCACCUUUCUCCCCCAACCCGUCAGAGUUUAUAUUUUCUUUCUUUCUUUUU